rnacentral:rRNA from 1 species
AUUGAACGCUGGCGGCAGGCCUAACACAUGCAAGUCGAACGAGUGGCGGACGGGUGAGUAAUGUCUGGGAAACUGCCUGAUGGAGGGGGAUAACUACUGGAAACGGUAGCUAAUACCGCAUACCAUCGGAUGUGCCCAGAUGGGAUUAGCUUGUUGGUGGGGUAACGGCUCACCAAGGCGACGAUCCCUAGCUGGUCUGAGAGGAUGACCAGACACACUGGAACUGAGACAAGGUGCAGACGCCUACGGUAGCCGUCAGUGGGGAAUAUUGCACAAGGGUCGCCAGCCUGAUGCACUUAUGCCGGGUGUAUGAAGAAGACGUUCGGGUUGUAACGUACGUUCAGCGGGGAGGCGUUACCCGCAGAAGAAGCACCCGCUAACUCCGUGCCAGACGCCGCGGUCAUAC